rnacentral:misc_RNA from 1 species
UUAUCAACCCUCAAGCCCGGCUUGGCGUUGGGUCCCGCCGGGGUAAACUCCGGCGGACCUCAAAGAUAAUGGCAGAGCCCGUGUGGACCCUGGAUGCAGCGAGCUCUUUGGCACGCGUCGCGGCGGUCCUCCGGCUCGGUCUUGACGAUUUUUUUAAACUGGUUGACCUCGGAUCAGGUAGGGAUACCCGCUGAACUUAA